rnacentral:siRNA from 1 species
UGGUGCUUGACCUGAUGAUGAC